UACGGGGGGGGCAAGCGUUGUUCGGAAUUACUGGGCGUAAAGGGCUCGUAGGCGGCCAACUAAGUCAGACGUGAAAUCCCCAGGCUCAACCUGGGAACUGCGUCUGAUACUGGUUGGCUUGAAUCCGGGAGAGGGAUGCAGAAUUCCAGGUGUAGCGGUGAAAUGCGUAGAUAUCUGGAGGAAUACCGGUGGCGAAGGCGGCAUCCUGGACCGGCAUUGACGCUGAGGCGCGAAAGCGUGGGUAGCAAACAGG
rnacentral:rRNA from 1 species